UACAGAGGGGGCAAGCGUUGUUCGGAAUUACUGGGCGUAAAGGGCGCGUAGGCGGCCUUCUAAGUCGAACGUGAAAUCCCCGGGCUCAACCCGGGAACUGCGUCCGAUACUGGAAGGCUUGAAUCCGGGAGAGGGAUGCGGAAUUCCAGGUGUAGCGGUGAAAUGCGUAGAUAUCUGGAGGAACACCGGUGGCGAAGGCGGCAUCCUGGACCGGCAUUGACGCUGAGGCGCGAAAGCCAGGGGAGCAGACGGG
rnacentral:rRNA from 1 species